rnacentral:rRNA from 1 species
UUUCCGUAGGUGAACCUGCGGAAGGAUCAUUACCGAGUGUAGGGUUCCUAGCGAGCCCAACCUCCCACCCGUGUUUACUGUACCUUAGUUGCUUCGGCGGGCCCGCCAUUCAUGGCCGCCGGGGGCUCUCAGCCCCGGGCCCGCGCCCGCCGGAGACACCACGAACUCUGUCUGAUCUAGUGAAGUCUGAGUUGAUUGUAUCGCAAUCAGUUAAAACUUUCAACAAUGGAUCUCUUGGUUCCGGCAUCGAUGAAGAACGCAGCGAAAUGCGAUAACUAGUGUGAAUUGCAGAAUUCCGUGAAUCAUCGAGUCUUUGAACGCACAUUGCGCCCCCUGGUAUUCCGGGGGGCAUGCCUGUCCGAGCGUCAUUGCUGCCCAUCAAGCACGGCUUGUGUGUUGGGUCGUCGUCCCCUCUCCGGGGGGGACGGGCCCCAAAGGCAGCGGCGGCACCGCGUCCGAUCCUCGAGCGUAUGGGGCUUUGUCACCCGCUCUGUAGGCCCGGCCGGCGCUUGCCGAACGCAAAUCAAUCUUUUUCCAGGUUGACCUCGGAUCAGGUAGGGAUACCCGCUGAACUUAAGCAUAUCAAUAAGCGGAGGAAAAGAAACCAACCGGGAUUGCCUCAGUAACUG